GGGGGCGAAAUUGGCUUCGACGGGGGUUUGGAGCUUUUAGUAGCGAGCUGUUGUGAGGAACAACAUAAAAAGUCUCAAACAAAAUAAACGAAAACAAUAAUUUAGCUUACGCAGCAUAAAUAGCGUCAUCUGUUUAGAGAACCCCACGGCUUUAAAUCAGGUGUCAAAUCAGUGGGAAACAAAGCUCUGUAAUUUAUCAUAGCAGAGGGGGUAUUUAUGAUAAUAUAGUUUAAAAAUCCUGUUUGUCGGAGUUUUAGAUCGAAUAAAAAAAGAUAAACUGCGCUCGGAGAAUCUAACUGUAAAGAGCUUUCGGACGCGGGUUCAACUCCCGCCGCCUCCACCA
rnacentral:tmRNA from 1 species